AUUGAACGCUGGCGGCAUGCCUUACACAUGCAAGUUGAACGGUAACAGGGAGCUUGCUCCGCUGACGAGUGGCGAACGGGUGAGUAAUGUAUCGGAACGUACCUUUUAGUGGGGGAUGACGUAGCGAAAGUUACGCUAAUACCGCAUAUUCUCUGAGGAGGAAAGCAGGGGACCUUCGGGCCUUGCGCUAAUAGAGCGGCUGAUAUCAGAUUAGCUAGUUGGUGAGGUAAAGGCUCACCAAGGCGACUAUCUGUAGCGGGUCUGAGAGGAUGAUCCGCCACACUGGAACUGAGACACGGUCCAGACUCCUACGGGAGGCAGCAGUGGGGAAUUUUGGACAAUGGGGGCAACCCUGAUCCAGCCAUGCCGCGUGAGUGAAGAAGGCCUUCGGGUUGUAAAGCUCUUUCGGCCGGGAAAAAAUCGCAUGGGUUAAUACCCUGUGUGGAUGAUGGUACUGGAAUAAGAAGCACCGGCUAACUACGUGCCAGCAGCCGCAGUAA
rnacentral:rRNA from 1 species